GGGUCUGUAGCUCAGUUGGUUAGAGCAGAGGACUCAUAAUCCUUUGGUCCACGGUUCAAGUCCGUGCAGACCCACCA
rnacentral:tRNA from 7 species